CCACUAAGGGAAGGGACAUCUAGCAAUCUCUUCUUCCCUAAGUCAUCCAUAUCAUCUUCACAAGAUACAUCCUUGGUGAAGAGACUUAGAGACAUCAAACUUUUGGUGUUUUGGAGAACUUAUCCUCAUUUCCUCAAAUCUUCAAAGGAGCACUAAAGGGAGGAAAACACAAGGAGGAUUCAAGGAGCUUGGAGGUGACUUGAAGGCCCUCCACUUAGGUGAAUCCCUUGUGUAAACAAGGAUGAGCUUCAAGGGUAAAGAAACUCUAAAUCUUUACUUAUCUUUAAUGUUGUUAAAGAGUUUAUUGGUUCACCAUAUACUAGGCUUUGAAAGUCAUGGGUUUUAUGAAUUGUUUUUGGAUGCAUGUCUACUUUAAAGUGUUAAUAGCUUGCAUGUGUAUUCAAAUGUUCAUACUUGUUCUUAGCUAGGACAAUUUUUUUCCUUCAAGCCAGCCUAGGCUCCGCCCUUGACCACUAACUCAAAUGCUUUAUCCCAGUGGAGUAUCUAGACAAGCCAAGCAUAG
rnacentral:lncRNA from 1 species